GGUGGCUCAGUGGUAGAGUGCCUGCCUAGCAUGCAUGAAGACCUGGGUUCAAUUCCUCAGCACCA
rnacentral:tRNA from 1 species